GCGAACGGGGAGCAGCCCAGAGCCUGAAUCAGUGUGUGUGUUAGUGGAAGCGUCUGGAAAGGCGUGCGAUACAGGGUGACAGCCCCGUACACAAAAAUGCACAUACUGUGAGCUCGAUGAGUAGGGCGGGACACGUGGUAUCCUGUCUGAAUAUGGGGGGACCAUCCUCCAAGGCUAAAUACUCCUGACUGACCGAUAGUGAACCAGUACCGUGAGGGAAAGGCGAAAAGAACCCCGGCGAGGGGAGUGAAAAAGAACCUGAAACCGUGUACGUACAAGCAGUGGGAGCACGCUUAGGCGUGUGACUGCGUACCUUUUGUAUAAUGGGUCAGCGACUUAUAUUCUGUAGCAAGGUUAACCGAAUAGGGGAGCCGAAGGGAAACCGAGUCUUAACUGGGCGUUAAGUUGCAGGGUAUAGACCCGAAACCCGGUGAUCUAGCCAUGGGCAGGUUGAAGGUUGGGUAACACUAACUGGAGGACCGAACCGACUAAUGUUGAAAAAUUAGCGGAUGACUUGUGGCUGGGGGUGAAAGGCCAAUCAAACCGGGAGAUAGCUGGUUCUCCCCGAAAGCUAUUUAGGUAGCGCCUCGUGAAUUCAUCUCCGGGGGUAGAGCACUGUUUCGGCAAGGGGGUCAUCCCGACUUACCAACCCGAUGCAAACUGCGAAUACCGGAGAAUGUUAUCACGGGAGACACACGGCGGGUGCUAACGUCCGUCGUGAAGAGGGAAACAACCCAGACCGCCAGCUAAGGUCCCAAAGUCAUGGUUAAGUGGGAAACGAUGUGGGAAGGCCCAGACAGCCAGGAUGUUGGCUUAGAAGCAGCCAUCAUUUAAAGAAAGCGUAAUAGCUCACUGGUCGAGUCGGCCUGCGCGGAAGAUGUAACGGGGCUAAACCAUGCACCGAAGCUGCGGCAGCGACGCUUAUGCGUUGUUGGGUAGGGGAGCGUUCUGUAAGCCUGUGAAGGUGUGCUGUGAGGCAUGCUGGAGGUAUCAGAAGUGCGAAUGCUGACAUAAGUAACGAUAAAGCGGGUGAAAAGCCCGCUCGCCGGAAGACCAAGGGUUCCUGUCCAACGUUAAUCGGGGCAGGGUGAGUCGACCCCUAAGGCGAGGCCGAAAGGCGUAGUCGAUGGGAAACAGGUUAAUAUUCCUGUACUUGGUGUUACUGCGAAGGGGGGACGGAGAAGGCUAUGUUGGCCGGGCGACGGUUGUCCCGGUUUAAGCGUGUAGGCUGGUUUUCCAGGCAAAUCCGGAAAAUCAAGGCUGAGGCGUGAUGACGAGGCACUACGGUGCUGAAGCAACAAAUGCCCUGCUUCCAGGAAAAGCCUCUAAGCAUCAGGUAACAUCAAAUCGUACCCCAAACCGACACAGGUGGUCAGGUAGAGAAUACCAAGGCGCUUGAGAGAACUCGGGUGAAGGAACUAGGCAAAAUGGUGCCGUAACUUCGGGAGAAGGCACGCUGAUAUGUAGGUGAAGUCCCUCGCGGAUGGAGCUGAAAUCAGUCGAAGAUACCAGCUGGCUGCAACUGUUUAUUAAAAACACAGCACUGUGCAAACACGAAAGUGGACGUAUACGGUGUGACGCCUGCCCGGUGCCGGAAGGUUAA
rnacentral:rRNA from 1 species